AGAAGCGGUGGUUUAGUAAUUAUCAAAUAAACCCAUGAGUGAAAAAAAGGAAACAACGCAUAAGAGUUUUUUUAAAAAGGACCGUUACGUUGAACCCUAAUCACAUGUGGAAAAAGGAAACAACAGAAAAAAGGAAAUCCCUAACACAUCAUUAAUGUUUAUAAAAUAGCCUCAUCGUUUAAGUAUCUUCGAUCGAUCAUCACAAACAAAAACCUAGAGAAACAAGAAAUACAGAGAGAGAGGGCUAAUUGCUGUAACUUGUCUGGAUGAACACAAAGUGUAGCUUUCCUGUAAGCUCGCUUCACGGCUGCUGAAGUUAUGACUUCUGUUAACGGUAACGGUUGCCAACCGCUCUCGGAACAGA